ensembl:miRNA
GAGGUGGGAGGAUUGCUUGAGCCCAGGAGUUCGAGGCUGCAGUCAGCUGUGAUUGUACUACUGCACUCCAGCCUGAGUGACAGAGCAAGACCCUGUCUCA